rnacentral:lncRNA from 1 species
UGUUAGAUAGAGGCUUGGUGAAUAUUACUUCUUUUUUUUUUUUUAGAGAGAGAGAGAUAGGUAGCACGCUAUUUGCUUCGUUUAUUUUAUUUAAAAUAAACUUAGUUGAAAAUGUGAAUUAACUAGGAUUCGAAUUUGAAACCUCGAGUACCAACCACAAAAGCAUUUGUCACUUACUCUGGGGAUGGUCGGUCGGUGAAUAUUACUUAUUUGUGAGUUAGUGAGGAGG